UAAGGAAAUUGUACGGUGGGCAGCAUAGAUUGGGCAGACUGGAUCAGCAAAGCAGCUUCAUGGAUCGUAUUCCUUGUUUCGGUAGCUAAACGAAAUCUCGAUUCUUCGUUCCUAUAAUAACACAACUACUCAAACCAGCUUGAGAGAAUACAGAUGCUGACUCGGUUAAUUUGAUCGUAUCUUGCCAGGCUAAUUCGCUGCUGUACAAAGCAUCUCGAUAAUUUCGUAAACGAUUCAACUCCGAUUCUAUUUCCGAAGCGUACGAUGAUCCUAUCACUUCGCCUGAUGAAGAAUGAAAUCAUUUAUAGAGAUACAUAUUUCAACUAGAGUUUCUGCAGAUUCUGUACUUUAUCGCUGAGUUUGGCAGCUUCUUCUUCGAUCUCUAGUUUUCUACGGUUUAGUAAAUAAAGUUGGCGACAUUUUAACGACUACAAGAACACCAUUCAAUAUUGAAAUCAUCUGUUGCAUGUUCGGUAAUAAUUCGUUGUUGUUCAAUUUUGUGUGGCGAUUCCGAAGAUCUGUGGUGUGAUUUGGACAGAGAAAUGAGAAUAAUUAUGCGAUUGAUUAGUAUACGUAUACGAUGAUAGCUGAAAUGCCUAUACUUGCUCGAGAUGGUAGCACGAUUGACGAGCAUCGCGAAGAAGAUGGUAGAUUUAUGAUAAUGUGAAAUGGGUUUAAAAGCGUGUACCGAUGUGUUGAACGAAGCUCACAUUUCGAUUCUUAUACUCGUGGAAAAAUAUUAUCGAAUAAUGAAAAAAUUUUGCUCGAAAAUGAUUUUUAGGUAGGUACCUAGCUAUAUGCAUAAGAGCUUCGCCGUAUCGACGCUGACGAUGGUUUUGAAGAUUCGACCCAAUAAAGCUACCUGGCGAUUUUCAUCGAGUUUUACAGAUGUAGGUGUAAUUUUUUAGUGAGGAAAUUAUCAACGUGAUCUGCGAUCGAAUUGAAAUUUGGAUCACUGGAAGAGUAUCGCAGAACCAAAUUUUCAGCUGUCGAAGUUGAUUUUUUGAUUUCUGGCGAAUUUUUGAAAAUGGCGGAAGUAGCCUAUUGGUGUAUUAAUUUUUUUUGAAAAGAUCAAACAUGGGAUAAAAAUCUAGAUCUCGGUUUAUCUUUAUUCAAGUCCACUCCCAGAAUUAAUUGCCAACUUUUUCCAACUGAUGGAUGAAUUUCAAAUCGUUUCAGAAGGCGUUUUUAAUCAACUUAGGCAGCUGAAAAUUCAAUCCGGUCAUAAGUUAGACACUUCAAAUUGACCAAGGAAGGUGGAUCACAAAUCCGAAGAAACGAAUUGAAAAUAGAAU